GAUGAACGCUGGCGGCGUGCCUAAUACAUGCAAGUCGAGCGAACAGACGAGGAGCUUGCUCCUCUGACGUUAGCGGCGGACGGGUGAGUAACACGUGGAUAACCUACCUAUAAGACUGGGAUAACUUCGGGAAACCGGAGCUAAUACCGGAUAAUAUAUUGAACCGCAUGGUUCAAUAGUGAAAGACGGUUUUGCUGUCACUUAUAGAUGGAUCCGCGCCGCAUUAGCUAGUUGGUAAGGUAACGGCUUACCAAGGCAACGAUGCGUAGCCGACCUGAGAGGGGGAUCGGGCACACUUGAACUUAGACACGGUCCAGACUCCUAAGGGAGGCAGGAGGUGGGAAUCUUCCGCAAUGGGCGGAAGCCUGACGGAGCAACGCCGCGGGAGUGAUGAAGGUCUUCGGAUCGUAAAACUCUGUUAAUAAGGAAGAACAAAUUGGUAAGGAACUAUGCACGGCUUGACGGUACCUAAUCAGAAAAGCACGGCUAACUUCCUG
rnacentral:rRNA from 1 species